GCUAGAACAAGGGGAGCGUUGGAGCAGCAAUCUGCUAGAAAGGUCUCUGGGACUUUAUCCAGUGCAAAGCUCACUAGCAGUUUUCCUUCUCCAAAGUUGCAUGCUUCUAUAGGCACAGGUGUGCAGCGCAAAUUGGAUAUGGCUAAACAGGAUGCUAAAAAGAAUGAUAAAUACUUGAAGAGCUCUGCCAAUCAACAAAAAUAUCGGCCCCCUGGAAAGAGCAGUCCUAUGUGAUUGUGGAAUCCCUGAAGGUGGUUAGCUUGCAAGGAUUUGCAGCAAUUUUGGAGCCUAACCUCUGCAGAAUUAUUUCCCACCUACUAUCGUUCCGAACCAUCCAACUAGCAGGAAGAAUAGGACGGGGCUGAUUGUGGGGAUUGUUGUUGGUGGUGGAGUACUUUUGAUUCUAUUGUUGUUGAUUUUCUGUAUUUUUCAAAGAAGAAAAAAGGAUUAACACCAGUAAAAAUGAAGGGUACUCUUAAUGAUGGAAGAGUAAUUGCCGUGAAGCAAUUGUCUGCAGCAUCCUAGCAAGGAAAAAAUGAGUUUCUCCCUUGUUGUGUGUUCUUGCAGGCAAUGUAUUAAGCUCCC